GGCGUGCUUAACACAUGCAAGUCGAACGGUGAAGCCAAGCUUGCUUGGUGGAUCAGUGGCGAACGGGUGAGUAACACGUGAGCAACCUGCCCUGGACUCUGGGAUAAGCGCUGGAAACGGCGUCUAAUACUGGAUAUGAGCUUCUACCGCAUGGUGGGGGUUGGAAAGAUUUUUCGGUCUGGGAUGGGCUCGCGGCCUAUCAGCUUGUUGGUGAGGUAAUGGCUCACCAAGGCGUCGACGGGUAGCCGGCCUGAGAGGGUGACCGGCCACACUGGGACUGAGACACGGCCCAGACUCCUACGGGAGGCAGCAGUGGGGAAUAUUGCACAAUGGGCGGAAGCCUGAUGCAGCAACGCCGCGUGAGGGAUGACGGCCUUCGGGUUGUAAACCUCUUUUAGCAGGGAAGAAGCGAAAGUGACGGUACCUGCAGAAAAAGCGCCGGCUAACUACGUGCCAGCAGCCGCGGUAAUACGUAGGGCGCAAGCGUUAUCCGGAAUUAUUGGGCGUAAAGAGCUCGUAGGCGGUUUGUCGCGUCUGCUGUGAAAUCCCGAGGCUCAACCUCGGGCCUGCAGUGGGUACGGGCAGACUAGAGUGCGGUAGGGGAGAUUGGAAUUCCUGGUGUAGCGGUGGAAUGCGCAGAUAUCAGGAGGAACACCGAUGGCGAAGGCAGAUCUCUGGGCCGUAACUGACGCUGAGGAGCGAAAGGGUGGGGAGCAAACAGGCUUAGAUACCCUGGUAGUCCACCCCGUAAACGUUGGGAACUAGUUGUGGGGACCAUUCCACGGUUUCCGUGACGCAGCUAACGCAUUAAGUUCCCCGCCUGGGGAGUACGGCCGCAAGGCUAAAACUCAAAGGAAUUGACGGGGACCCGCACAAGCGGCGGAGCAUGCGGAUUAAUUUCGAUGCAACGCGAAGAACCCUUACCAAGGCUUGACAUACACCAGAACGGGCCAGAAAUGGUCAACUCUUUGGGAACACUGGUGAACAGGU
rnacentral:rRNA from 1 species